UACGUAGGGUCCGAGCGUUGUCCGGAAUUACUGGGCGUAAAGAGCUCGUAGGUGGUUUGUCGCGUUGUUCGUGAAAACUCACAGCUCAACUGUGGGCGUGCGGGCGAUACGGGCAGACUAGAGUACUGCAGGGGAGACUGGAAUUCCUGGUGCAGCGGUAGAAUGCGCAGAUAUCAGGAGGAACACCGGUGGCGAAGGCGGGUCUCUGGGCAGUAACUGACGCUGAGGAGCGAAAGCGUGGGGAGCGAACAGG
rnacentral:rRNA from 1 species